UGACUUCCAGUUUUAAGUGCCAUUAGCCU
rnacentral:piRNA from 1 species